CCGAGGUGGGGCACAAACAGCUCCAGCUUUAAAUCACUGAUUAAGGUGGAACCCAGGAAAAUUGGGGUGAAAUCCAGGGAAAAAAACCAAAUCCAUCCCCGCUGUCCCGACCCAGCCGUGCUGGAAAAGCCCCAAAGCACAGGAAGCCCAAAAGGAGCCGUUCUGGGCCCAAAAGGAGCCGUUCUGGGCCCAAAAGGAGCCGUUCUGGGCCCAAAAGGAGCCGUUCUGGCCCCUUUCCCUCAGGAGGGGACACAGAGCCACAUCCCCAUCCCAAUCUCUGCUUAAUUAAUCACAAACAUCCCUGGGGUUAAUUAACCACAAACGAGGAGGUUCUGAAACAGCUGGAAUUGGUUUGGGGAGGAAAAAUCCCCAAAAUAAAUAAAACGUGCACAGAGGGUGUGGGGAGAAAAGAGUUUAGGGCAGGGAGGAGUUGGACUAAAUAGCAAUUAAACCUGAUUGAGCUUAAUUAACCUCAGUUUGUUCCUUUUUGGAUGGGUUUGUCCCCAAAUUCUGGGCGUUUGCACCCAAAGUGCCUCGGGUUUGGCGGCGCAGGGGGGAGGGGAAGGAAGAGGCGGGACAAGGGUUCGUUAACGAGAAUCUAAUGAGUCAUUAGGCAGAUAAUCUCAAUCAGACGGGUCAGGAGCAGCACCAGCGGGGUCAGAGGGGCCCCGGGCGGAUCCCGGCCGGGUUUUGGGCUCAAACCGCCCGAAAUGGGUGAAAGGAGGGGAUGGGGGGCAGCAGCCCGGCCAAGGCGGUGCCCCCCUGUCCCGUGGGGCUCCAGCAGCCAUUCCAGGGGGGUUUUGUCCUUAAAUUGGGAUAUUGCCCAAAAUCCAGCUGGAAUCACCCCAGCAUCCCACACAAUCCGGGAUGGAUCCCCCAUUCCAGCAUCCCCCUGCAGCCCACGGGGGUUCCUGGUUGGUUCUGCUUCUCCUCGAGGAUUCCCAGUUCACCCAGUUUGGGGGUUUGGCUCCUCCAUGGACUGAGUUCCUGAAUCAGGAACCCCUUGGGGAUCCCGGCCCCAUCCGUGGGG
rnacentral:lncRNA from 1 species